CAGCAGCCGCCGCGGUAAUACGUAGGUGGCAAGCGUUGUCCGGAAUUAUUGGGCGUAAAGGGCUCGCAGGCGGUUUCUUAAGUCUGAUGUGAAAGCCCCCGGCUCAACCGGGGAGGGUCAUUGGAAACUGGGAAACUUGAGUGCAGAAGAGGAGAGUGGAAUUUCACGUGUAGCGGUGAAAUGCGUAGAGAUGUGGAGGAACACCAGUGGCGAAGGCGACUCUCUGGUCUGUAACUGACGCUGAGGAGCGAAAGCGUGGGGAGCGAACAGGAUUAGAUACCCGAGUAGUCCCUGUCUCUUAUAC
rnacentral:rRNA from 1 species